rnacentral:lncRNA from 1 species
AGCAAAAAUUAAAAUAAAACUCACACAAUAUAACCAAAAUAAUCUUAAAUUUCAAUAAUUUGUUCCUCCUUACAUGUAGGCCUGAACAAAAUAAGAUCACUAGGACCUUUUACAAUAACCUGUAUACCUAUUAGUAAGACCUAAAAAAAGUGCACAAACUACACUAGUUUGAGCUGCACAUUAGAAAGACUAAACAAGAACACCAUAAAAAUACUACAACACGUCUCAAAUUAAACCCCCGCAAAAUUGAACAAAAAUGAAUCCCUCACAAAAACACAAAAUAAACAUUCCACAACCACCAACCAUCAAAACUUUGAACUCUGUGUCUUCAACCAUGACAUGGCCUGUGCCUUAUUAGGUCCCAACGAUUUUGCAGGUUUGCUCACAGCAUUAGCCAUUGAAGAAAUUGUUGGAGCUGCAGCUGAUACUGAACUACUGGUAACUCUAGAUUGGUAAGCUAAAUUUGGUACUGAAUUUGUGGUAACUCUAUCUACUUUGGAAUACCGAAUACCCUAUCUUCUUUGUUACAAAAUACUGUAGAAUUUGAAAUGUGAAAGUCUCAACUGCCAUAUAUCCAAAAUACUGCAUCAUUCCCCCUUGAUAUUGAGUCCAUUCAUAGUCCAAGUCCCCACCAUGAUGUAUCACCAAAGUAAAACCUCUAGCCAUUACUUCAACUGCAAACAAAAAGAAAAAAUAAUACAUUAAUUCAGCUGAAUCAAAACAUAGUAUUUACAACACAUUACAAAAGCAAUUCAGGUUACCAUAGCUUAACAGGUCUGGCAGUAGAAAUAUAUAUUUGUAAAUCACUAAUGUAUGCAUUCAAUCUUGGCAAACAUUCCAAUCUUGGCAGACAUUCAAUCAAAUGCUAAAUGACUAAAUAAUGAGUUAUAUUUAUUAUGGCAUCAAAAGAACAAUCACAUGAAAUUUUGCAGACACUUAAAAGUAUUUAACAUUGGCAGACAUUCCAUACAUUCAGGACAACAAUGUAUUGAAUAAGUGAUUCAAUUCUGAGCAUAUAUAUCUUCACCCUAUAUGUAAGGCACUGAAAAACUUAUAUAGAGCAAUCACUUAGAUGUAUGUAGAAGGCCAAGAAUACCACAUGAACAACACACAGGCUUUACGAUAAAAAGAUACAAUUGUCACUUUCAAAGGACCAACAGUUUGGAAAUCUAAUGUCAACUUUGCCUCUGCAAUUCAGGUUUGCUAAGAUGAACAAGAUCACUCAUGAAAACAAUUUCAUUUUCAAAAUGAAAAAAAAAAAAUUUAAAUGCCAAAUUGAUGGCAUUGAAACACACCAUUUAGGACAUGUUAGGACAUAAAAUCUCGACUAACACACGAAUAUGUCAAAAAAAAUUCGAAUUUGUGAAAACCCCUAAUUUGUUACAGAAAAUCCCUAAUUUUCAAAACCCUAGUUUGUCAAUAAACUUUAAAUUACUAACUAAUACAGGAAUUUCAUGAAACCAUUAUAACAACAACACACAGAAAUAAGAAAGCAACUUACUUGGGGCAGUUGGAUUUGACAAAUCCACUUCAUGAUCUCUAGUUUGAGCUCUCUAGACUCUUUUUUCUUCCACCCCCCUCAUCAAUCUUACUCGACAUCCCUUCAUCAUCCAUUAACUUGAUUUCAAGAAGAAACUUUGAUGUAGGAAAGAAUCAAUUUAGGUUGUAGCCAUGAAGAACACUUGGGAAAAAACAAAGUUGAAACGAUGGAGAAUGGUUUUUCGAUUUAGGUUUAGAUUAUUUUGGUUAACUGGUCACGUGAUUCGUAUAACGUGUGUGGGAUGUUAUCAGGUGCAAAAUAUAUGCUGAAAAGAACACGUGUAUAUCAUGUGCUCCU